UACGUAGGGUGCGAGCGUUAUCCGGAAUUAUUGGGCGUAAAGGGCUCGUAGGCGGUUUGUCGCGUCGGGAGUGAAAACUCAGGGCUUAACCCUGAGCCUGCUUCCGAUACGGGCAGACUAGAGGUAUGCAGGGGAGAACGGAAUUCCUGGUGUAGCGGUGAAAUGCGUAGAUAUCAGGAGGAACACCGGUGGCGAAGGCGGGUCUCUGGGCCGUAACUGACGCUGAGGAGCGAAAGCUAGGGAGCAAACGG
rnacentral:rRNA from 1 species